rnacentral:lncRNA from 1 species
CAUGGCCUGGAGCCCCCACCACCUGCGUGGCAGCUAGAGGCCCAGAGUCUCAUUCCUCGCAUGGUUCGGGGUCUGGUCACCAUCACCUGCCAGGGAAGAAUCACACUUGCUAUCUCCCCAGCCCACCUUCCCCUCAUGGUCUCUCCUGGGAGCCUUGGGGAUGCUCCCGUGUCCCCUAGGAAUCUUCCCGUGUCCCCUGCAAUCCUCCCGGGCACCCAAGUCCCUCCCUAGCACUUUCCCUUGGGAAUGCCUCUCCAGAGAGCCUAGGAGAGCUCCUCCACCCAAAGCACCCCCAGCCGUCUAGGGAACCCCCUGCCCAACCCCGACCUCUCUGGCUCUUGCUGUCUCAGCUGCCUGUCCCAUGCCGGCUGGCCGAUGGAGCUGGUGUCACGGUGGAUGAUGGGACUGGAUGAAGACUGGCAGAUAAAGCCUCAUUCAGGAUCUGACUCACAUGGCCUCAGCUGUCACCGCUGGCUCCUGGGGGGAGGGUUAUGGGGAGGGAGGGGGCUUAUGAUUUAACCCUUCUGGAACCAGCAGCCUGACCCUGCAUCUUCUCUCUCGGGGCUGCGGCUCCUUCUCUGUGAGUUAGAAUCUGACCCCGUAACCUCCUCCUUCCCCUUGAGGUCCCAUCCAAUCUCAUAGCCACAGCUAUUGGCUCCCGAAUCCCACUCUCUGCCAAACCCAGAUCUCCCUCCCAAGCUCCAGACCUGUAAGGUGGUAGUCACUUUGAUGUCCCAUAGGCACCUCUGACACAGCAGGUCCCAACCCGAGCUCGUCAUCUUACCCUGAACCUGCUCCUCCUUUGCGCUCCCCCCCUGGGUACAUCCUGGGGACGCCACCUCUGAGCUUUUCCAUCUCAGCCCUGCCCUCAUCCCCCUGCUCCUGCACUUCAGCUUCUGUCCCCCGACAACGCCCUCACUGCUCUUCCUGCCUCCCCCACGCUUCUCCUCUCACCGCCCCCCACGCCACAAUUUCUCUAACGUGGUACAAAGGGAACGCGGGCUCUGGCCUGGUCCCCCAGCUGCAGUCCCUCCACCAUGGGUGUGUGGGCGAGGGAUCUUGCAGUGGUUCCUCAUCGAACACGUCCUCCAGAGGCCAGUCAGAGUGACUCCCACAGGGCAAAGUACAGCCUUCCAGGCCCUGCCACAAGGAGCCCCAGUUUACAGCAGGGGUGCUGCUGUGAUGAGUGCUGGGCUGUGGGCUAGUCAGAGAGGGGCCUGCAGGAGGAUGAAGACUCCUGCUUUAUGUGGAGGACGCAGGCCCUAG